UAUUAGGAAGGUGAUGGAAAUUGGUUUAAUAUUACCAAGCCAGUCCAUAGUUUGCCGUUGGAGCCGCAUGGAAAAUGUGUUGUAAGCCCAAUUGAAUGGGCAGGGCCGCUUGCGGCCCGCGCAAUACCCAACCGUGCCUAGAAAAUUCCAAUUUCUUACACUAUGGCUGUCCGUACCACAAACCAACACAGGUGGGUGGGCUGAAUAUGCUAAGGCGAAAGAGUGAACCCUUGUUAAGGAACUCUGCAAUCUAAUCCCGUAACUUCGGAAGAAGGGAUGCCUGUCGAAAGACAGGUCGCAGUGAACUGGGUCAACCGACUGUUUAUCAAAAACACAGCAUUGUGCAAAGACGCAAGUCUAUGUAUACGAUGUGACACGUGACCAAUGCGGAAAGAUUAAGGCAAGAGGUUAGCCGCAAGGCGAAGCUUUGAGUCCAAGUCCCCGUGAAUGUCGGCCGUAACGAUAACGGUCCUAAGGUAGCGAAAUUCCUUGUCGGGUAAGUCCCGACCUGCACGAAUCGUGUAACGAGUUGACCGCUGUCUCAACAAGGCGCUCAGUGAAUUUGUAAUGGCGGUGUAGAUGCCGCCUACCUGCAGAAGGACGGAAAGACCCUAUGCACCUUAACUGUAAGCUGUCACUGAAUUGCUGAAUUGCAUGCUCAGCAUAAGUGGUAGGCGUUGAUAUCUGUCUUUAGGGGCAGAAGGAGCCAACAGUGAGAUACCACCCUUGCUAUUCCGCGAUUCUAACAUGAAUCACAUUUGAAUGUGACUAAGGACAAUGACAGCCGGUCAGUUUUACUGGGGCGGUAUCCUCCCAAAAGAUAACGGAGGAGUGCGAAGGUUAGCUCAGCACGGUUGGUAAUCGUGUGUCGAGUAUAUAGGCAAAAGCUAGCCUAACUGUGAGACCAACAAGUCGAACAGAUACGAAAGUAGGUCUAAGUGAUCCGGCGGUUAAAUGUGGAAUUGCCGUCGCUUAACGGAUAAAAGGUACGCUAGGGAUAACAGGCUGAUUUGACCCAAGAGUUCAUAUCGACGGUUAAGUUUGGCACCUCGAUGUCGGCUCGUCGCAUCCUGGGGCUGAAAAAGGUCCCAAGGGUCCGGCUGUUCGCUGGUUAAAGCGGCACGCGAGCUGGGUUCAGAACGUCGCGAGACAGUUCGGUCCUCUAUCCUCUGUAGGCGCAAAAGAAUUGAGGGAUUCACCUCUUAGUACGAGAGGACCGGAAGUAACACACCAAUAGUGUACCAGUUGCCAUUUCAAGGGCACUGCUGGGUAGCCAAGUGUGGAAAAGAUAAGCGCUGAAAGCAUCUAAGCGCCAAGCUCCCCCCAAGACUAAUUCUUUUUAAAUCGUGGGAGACUACCACGUCGAUAGAGCGGUUGUGAAUUGUGGUGUAAGCCCUUUAGCAAACCGUCACUAAUAUUUAA
rnacentral:rRNA from 1 species